rnacentral:rRNA from 1 species
GACGAACGCUGGCGGCGUGCCUAAUACAUGCAAGUAGAACGCUGAAGGAGGAGCUUGCUUCUCCGGAUGAGUUGCGAACGGGUGAGUAACGCGUAGGUAACCUGCCUGGUAGCGGGGGAUAACUAUUGGAAACGAUAGCUAAUACCGCAUAAGAGUAGAUGUCGCAUGACAUUUGCUUAAAAGGUGCAACUGCACCACUACCAGAUGGACCUGCGUUGUAUUAGCUAGUUGGUGAGGUAACGGCUCACCAAGGCAACGAUACAUAGCCGACCUGAGAGGGUGAUCGGCCACACUGGGACUGAGACACGGCCCAGACUCCUACGGGAGGCAGCAGUAGGGAAUCUUCGGCAAUGGACGGAAGUCUGACCGAGCAACGCCGCGUGAGUGAAGAAGGUUUUCGGAUCGUAAAGCUCUGUUGUAAGAGAAGAACGAGUGUGAGAGUGGAAAGUUCACACUGUGACGGUAUCUUACCGGAAAGGGACGGCUAACUACGUG